AAGUUCCGACCCGCACGAAAGGCGUAACGAUCUGGGCACUGUCUCAACGAGAGACUCGGUGAAAUUAUAAUACCCGUGAAGAUGCGGGUUACCCGCGACAGGACGGAAAGACCCCAUGGAGCUUUACUGUAGCUUGAUAUUGGGUGUUUGUACAACUUGUACAGGAUAGGUAGGAGCCGUAGAAGUCGGAACGCUAGUUUCGAUCGAGGCGCUGGUGGGAUACUACCCUCGUUGUAUGAACACUCUAACCCUCGCCGCUCAUCGCGGCGGGAGACAGUGUCAGGUGGGCAGUUUGACUGGGGCGGUCGCCUCCUAAAAGGUAACGGAGGCGCCCAAAGGUUCCCUCAGAAUGGUUGGAAAUCAUUCGCAGAGUGUAAAGGCAUAAGGGAGCUUGACUGCGAGACCUACAAGUCGAGCAGGGACGAAAGUCGGGCUUAGUGAUCCGGUGGUUCCGCAUGGAAGGGCCAUCGCUCAACGGAUAAAAGCUACCCUGGGGAUAACAGGCUUAUCUC
rnacentral:rRNA from 1 species